UACGGGGGGAGCAAGCGUUGUCCGGAAUUAUUGGGCGUAAAGCGCGCGCAGGCGGUCCUUUAAGUCUGAUGUGAAAGCCCACGGCUCAACCGUGGAGGGUCAUUGGAAACUGGGGGACUUGAGUGCAGGAGAGAAGAGUGGAAUUCCACGUGUAGCGGUGAAAUGCGUAGAGAUGUGGAGGAACACCAGUGGCGAAGGCGACUCUUUGGCCUGUAACUGACGCUGAGGCGCGAAAGCGUGGGGAGCAAACAGG
rnacentral:rRNA from 1 species